CCUCAGUUCAGCAGCAGAUACUAAAGUUAGACCGAUACAGAGAAGAUCAGCUCAGCCCUUGUUCUUGGGUGACAGGCACAUUCAUGAAGAGCGCCAUCUUUUU